rnacentral:rRNA from 1 species
GUGAACGCUGGCGGUAGGCCUAACACAUGCAAGUCGAACGGCAGCACAGUAAGAGCUUGCUCUUACGGGUGGCGAGUGGCGGACGGGUGAGGAAUACAUCGGAAUCUACUUUUUCGUGGGGGAUAACGUAGGGAAACUUACGCUAAUACCGCAUACGACCUACGGGUGAAAGCAGGGGAUCUUCGGACCUUGCGCGAUUGAAUGAGCCGAUGUCGGAUUAGCUAGUUGGCGGGGUAAAGGCCCACCAAGGCGACGAUCCGUAGCUGGUCUGAGAGGAUGAUCAGCCACACUGGAACUGAGACACGGUCCAGACUCCUACGGGAGGCAGCAGUGGGGAAUAUUGGACAAUGGGCGCAAGCCUGAUCCAGCCAGACCGCGUGGGUGAAGAAGGCCUUCGGGUUGUAAAGCCCUUUUGUUGGGAAAGAAAAGCAGCAGGUUAAUACCCCGCUGUUCUGACGGUACCCAAAGAAUAAGCACCGGCUAACUUCGUG